AUAAGGCAACCCUUUCUGUCCAAAGAUACAGUGAUUUCAUUUUGUACUCCCAAAAUACUGCUAUACGUGAUGUUAUGAAUUUGAUUGACAGCUGAUAACUGAACUACAGCUCCCAGAAACCUUUGCUGUGCCCAUACUAAGGAACAUAACAUACAUUUCUAAAUCUCAGAUUCAGUUCCACCAUAUGGCCAUAUUGUGUUAAGCCCACCACUACUUCACAGAAUCCCAAUAUUAGUGGGUCCUAUACUAAUUGCAAUGUGGGAGACAAAUCAAUAGCGCUAAAUAAUCUGAAGUGUAUUCAAAUAAUCUGUUUGUAAGAGCGCUG